rnacentral:rRNA from 1 species
UCGAGUGGCGGACGGGUGAGUAACGCGUAGGAAUCUACCAAAUAGCGGGGGAUAGCCCGGAGAAAUCCGGAUUAAUACCGCAUACGCCCUAAGGGGGAAAGGCCGGGAUCUUCGGACCGGUCGCUAUUGGAUGAGCCUGCGUAAGAUUAGCUUGUUGGUGAGGUAAAAGCUCACCAAGGCGACGAUCUUUAGCUGGUCUGAGAGGAUGAUCAGCCACACUGGGACUGAGACACGGCCCAGACUCC